AAACCGGAUUCUUGGUGCAGCCCCAGAACUCGCUGCCAGAACCGGGAAGUGAAGAGGUCUCCCAGCAGGAGCCAUUCCCCAGGAGGGGUGGGUGACCUCAGGGUCAGGGGCCAGGCCCGAGGGUGUUCCCAGACCUCUGCGUCCCAGAAGCCCACCUGCCCGCUGUCACACCUGAGGAAGGUGGAGGUCAGGUUGAGGCCGCCAUCCGAGGCCGGGGCCACCACCGACUUGCACAUGGACAGCGCCGCCUUCUUCUCUCGGAGCCAGCUCGAGUUGGAGGCGAGGCCCGCGCUGAACCAGAGCCCC